GGCAUGUUGCCAGAGUGGUUAAUGGGUGAGACUUGAAAUCUCAUGACUUCGGUCGCGUAGGUUCAAAUCCUGCACAUGUCG